CGAGAUAUGGGUAAGGCCCAGCGGCUAUCUGCAGUCGACGCUUUUUCUUUCACCGGAGCUUGCUCCACCGAAAGAAAAAGAGUGGCGAACGGGUGAGUAACACGUGGGUAACCUGCCCAUCAGAAGGGGAUAACACUUGGAAACAGGUGCUAAUACCGUAUAACACUAUUUUCCGCAUGGAAAAAAGUUGAAAGGCGCUUUUGCGUCGCUGAUGGAUGGACCCGCGGUGCAUUAGCUAGUUGGUGAGGUAACGGCUCACCAAGGCAACGAUGCAUAGCCGACCUGAAAGGGUGAUCGGCCACACUGGGACUGACACACGGCCCAAACUCCUACGGGAGGCAGCAAUAGGGAAUCUUCGGCAAUGGACGAAAGUCUGACCGACCAACGCCGCGUGAGUGAAGAAGGUUUUCGGAUCGUAAAACUCUGUUGUUAAAGAAGAACAAGGAUGAGAGUAAAAUGUUCAUCCCUUGACGGUAUCUAACCAGAAAGCCACGGCUAACUACGUGCCAGCAGCCGCGGUAAUACGUAGGUGGCAAGCGUUGUCCGGAUUUAUUGGGCGUAAAGCGAGCGCAUGCGGUUUCUUAAGUCUGAUGUGAAAGCCCCCGGCUCAACCGGGGAGGGUCAUUGGAAACUGGGAGACUUGAGUGCAGAAGAGGAGAGUGGAAUUCCAUGUGUAGCGGUGAAAUGCGUAGAUAUAUGGAGGAACACCAGUGGCGAAUGCGGCUCUCUGGUCUGUAACUGACGCUGAGGCUCGAAAGCGUGGGGAGCGUACAGGAUUAGAUACCCUGGCUAGUCCACGCCGUAAACGAUGAGUGCUAAGGUGUUGGCAGGGUUUCCGCUCCUUUCAGUGCUGCAGCUAACGCAUUAGCACUGCGUACUGGGGUACGUACGACUGCAAGGCUGAAGCUAUAGCGAGUGACGGCGCACGCACUAGACGGGUGGUAGCCAUG
rnacentral:rRNA from 1 species